GACGAACGCUGGCGGCGUGCUUAACACAUGCAAGUCGAACGGAAAGGCCCUGCUUUUGUGGGGUGCUCGAGUGGCGAACGGGUGAGUAACACGUGAGUAACCUGCCCUUGACUUUGGGAUAACUUCAGGAAACUGGGGCUAAUACCGGAUAGGAGCUCCUGCUGCAUGGUGGGGGUUGGAAAGUUUCGGCGGUUGGGGAUGGACUCGCGGCGUAUCAGCUUGUUGGUGGGGUAGUGGCUUACCAAGGCUUUGACGGGUAGCCGGCCUGAGAGGGUGACCGGCCAAAUUGGGACUGAGCUGCGGCCCAGACUCCUACGGGAGGCAGCAGUGGAGAAUAUUGCACAAUGGGCGGAAGCCUGAUGCAGCCACGCCGCGUGCGGGAUGACGGGCUUCGGGUUGUAAACCGCUUUCGCCUGUGACGAAGCGUGAGUGACGGUAAUGGGUAAAGAAGCACCGGCUAACUACGUG
rnacentral:rRNA from 1 species